GACAUUCAAUUAUAUUUUUGUUUCUGCUACAGCCUUAGCAGCCCUGGAAUCUUUAAAUCUCAACAGGUGCUGUCUUUCUGAUGAAGAAUUUGAGAACCUCUCUAGUCUUAAAACCUUGAAGAGGCUAAGUCUGGCAUUUAACAGGAUCACAGAUGCCUGUUUAGUACAUCUGAAAGGUUUAGUAAAUUUGGAGUAUUUAAAUUUGGAUUCCUGCAAAAUAGGCAAUAAAGGGCUUGCCAAUUUGACAGGCCUCACUCUCUUGAGAAGUCUAGUGUUGUCAGACACUGAAAUUGGUUCCAGCGGGCUGCGUCAUAUAUCAGGUACAUGGAAAAAAUCUUAUUAAAUAAAAAUUCAAACCCGGUCAAAUUAUUGUGUUG